rnacentral:rRNA from 1 species
UACGUAGGGUGCGAGCGUUAAUCGGAAUUACUGGGCGUAAAGCGUGCGUAGGCGGCCGCCUAAGUCAGACGUGAAAUCCCUCGGCUCAACCGGGGAACUGCGUCUGAUACUGGGUGGCUUGAAUCCGGGAGAGGGAUGCGGAAUUCCAGGUGUAGCGGUGAAAUGCGUAGAUAUCUGGAGGAACACCGGUGGCGAAGGCGGCAUCCUGGACCGGCAUUGACGCUGAGGCGCGAAAGCCAGGGGAGCAAACGGG